rnacentral:rRNA from 1 species
UACGGAGGGAGCUAGCGUUGUUCGGAAUUACUGGGCGUAAAGCGCACGUAGGCGGCUCAGCAAGUCAGGGAUGAAAUCCCGGGGCUCAACCCCGGAACUGCCCUUGAAACUGCUAAGCUAGAAUCUUGGAGAGGCGAGUGGAAUUCCGAGUGUAGAGGUGAAAUUCGUAGAUAUUCGGAAGAACACCAGUGGCGAAGGCGACUCGCUGGACAAGUAUUGACGCUGAGGUGCGAAAGCGUGGGGAGCAAACAGG